rnacentral:rRNA from 1 species
UACGAGGGGGGCUAGCGUUGCUCGGAAUCACUGGGCGUAAAGGGUGCGUAGGCGGGUCUUUAAGUCAGAGGUGAAAUCCUGGAGCUCAACUCCAGAACUGCCUUUGAUACUGAAGAUCUUGAGUUCGGGAGAGGUGAGUGGAACUGCGAGUGUAGAGGUGAAAUUCGUAGAUAUUCGCAAGAACACCAGUGGCGAAGGCGGCUCACUGGCCCGAUACUGACGCUGAGGCACGAAAGCGUGGGGAGCAAACAGG